GGGGGGGGGUAGAGUGAAGGAGAAAAUAUAAGGAAAAUUAGGCUGGGACAGGGAAGAGAGGGUGAAGCUGUGUACAUAGGAGGGGGAGAGAGACACGGGGAGUAGUUGUUAGAGAGAAAAUGUUGGAGAGGUGAAAAAGGGCUAGAGGAAGAAUGAGUGAGGGAGUUGAUGAAUAGAGAGAGAGAGGUGGAUGGAAGAGAGCGAGAGAGAGGUGGAUGGAAGAGAGAGCGAGAGAGGUGGAUGGAAGAGAGAGCGAGAGAGGUGGAUGGAAGAGAGCGAGAGAGAGGUGGAUGGAAGAGAGCGCGAGAGAGAGGUGGAUGGAAGAGAGCGCGAGAG
rnacentral:lncRNA from 1 species